GGCGGACGGGUGAGUAACGCGUAAAGAACUUGCCCUUUAGACUGGGGUAACAGAGGGAAACUUCUGAUAAUACUGGAUAAGUUAGUAUAUCGCAUGAUAUGCAAAUGAAAGCUACGGCACUAAAGGAGAGCUUUGCGUCCUAUUAGCUAGUUGGUAAGGUAAGAGCUUACCAAGGCGAUGAUAGGUAGCCGGCCUGAGAGGGUGGACGGCCACAAGGGGACUGAGAUACGGCCCUUACUCCUACGGGAGGCAGCAGCG
rnacentral:rRNA from 1 species